rnacentral:rRNA from 1 species
AAGUCGUGCGAUCGGCUAGACCUUCGGGUCUAGUACGGAGCGGCGAACGGGCGAGUAACACGUGGGUAAUCUACCUUCAAGUGGGGAAUAACCUCGGGAAACUGAGGCUAAUACCCCAUACUCUUAUAGGGCAUUGUGCUCUAUAAGAAAAGGAGUAAUCCGCUUGAAGAUGAGCCUGCGUCCUAUCAGCUAGUUGGUGAGGUAAUGGCUCACCAAGGCUACGACGGGUAGCCGGCCUGAGAGGGUGACCGGCCGCAAGGGGACUGAGACACGGCCCCUAUCCCUACGGGGGGCAGCAGUGGGGAAUUGUAGGCAAUGCCCGAAAGGGUGACCACGCAAUCCCGUGUGCAGGACGAAGCCCUUCGGGGUGUAAACUGCUGUCAGGAGGGACGA